rnacentral:misc_RNA from 1 species
AUUUUAUUGACUUUUUUGUAUUUUUAUUUUGAUUAAAAAGUUUUUAUAUUAUUAAAUAUGUAUCUUAAAUCUAAUACAGCGGCAAUUGAGUAUUUUUAAAAUUGAGAUUAUGUUGUAAUAUAUUAUAAAUAUGCUUUAAUAUAUAAAUCGACCUAAUGUUUUUUUAUUCUUAUUAAUUAUGACUUAGGACAACUUAACAAAUUGGGACCAGGAUGAGUUGAACAUCCGACCUCAGGUUUA